CACCCCUCAAGCUAUGCUUGGUGUUGGGCGUCUGUCUCGCCUCCGGCGCGGACUCGCCUUAAAAUCAUUGGCGGCCUGUGUAUUUGGGCUACGAGCGCAGCAGAUUCGCGCCUCGACCCGCGUCACUGGCAUCCAGUAAGCGAAAAACCAUAG
rnacentral:misc_RNA from 1 species